rnacentral:rRNA from 1 species
AUGGACCACCUUGCGUGGAACUAUGAGAAAAAUGAUAUGUUCACGGUAAGGAGUGCCUACAAGUUGGGAAUGUUUUUGAAGCAGCAGGAAACAACAGCCGGAUCAUCAAGUAAUGUAAGCACUGGAAGGGAAAAUCUUUGGAAUUUAAUCUGGAAAGCGCAUGUCCCUCACAAAAUCCGUAUUGUGGCCCGGAGAAUCGCCACUGACUCACUCCCUACAAAAGAGAACAAAAGGAAGAGAACACUUGUUGUUGAUAGCACAUGUAAUAUAUAUGGCAGAGAGACGGAGGAUGCCCAACACGCAGUUCUGAAAUGUACCAAAGCUACAGCUCUCCGGGAGGAAAUGAGAGAGCACUGGACCUUACCAAGUGAAACUCUGCUUGUUACUCGGGACCCGGACUGGCUACUUCAUGCUCUCAGUCUUUGUUCUGGAGACAUGCGAGAAAAGCUGCUCUUGGUUUUAUGGCGUUCGUGGCAUCUUAGGGACGACAUUGUGCAUGACAAAGGAACAACAAAGGUGUCUGACUCAGUCCUAUUCCUGAAGAAUUAUUGGGAAACUCUGAAUUCAAACAGUCAAAGUAGAGGUGAUGUGAAAGGGAAAAAACCUCCGCACGAUGUACAAAUGCAAUCGCCCACUACUCAGGAAUUGAAGCCGACCAUCCGCUGGUCCAGACCACAAGGUGGAAUCGGACUGUGCCGCAGUUGUCGCGGCUGUAAAUGCAAGAGAAAGGAACAAUGCAAAGUGGUGGACUACUUAUGA